CGAACGCUGGCGGCGUGCUUAACACAUGCAAGUCGAACGCGAAAGGGACUUCGGUCCUGAGUAAAGUGGCGCACGGGUGAGUAACGCGUGGAUAAUCUACCCAAUGGUCUGGGAUAACAUUUCGAAAGGGGUGCUAAUACCGGAUAAGACCACGGAGUCUUUGGGCUCUGCGGUAAAAGGUGGGGACCUUCGGGCCUACCGCAAUUGGAUGAGUCCGCGUACCAUUAGCUAGUUGGUAGGGUAAAGGCCUACCAAGGCGACGAUGGUUAGCUGGUCUGAGAGGACGAUCAGCCACACUGGUACUGAGACACGGUCCAGACUCCUACGGGAGGCAGCAGUGGGGAAUCUUGCGCAAUGGGCGAAAGCCUGACGCAGCAACGCCGCGUGUGUGAUGAAGGUCUUCGGAUCGUAAAGCACUGUCGGGAGGGACGAAUGAGGGCCCGUCUAACAAGCGGGUCCGAUGACGGUACCUCCAAAGGAAGCACCGGCUAACUCCGUGCCAGCAGCCGCGGUAAUACGGAGGGUGCGAGCGUUGUUCGGAAUUAUUGGGCGUAAAGCGCGUGUAGGCGGUUUGUUAAGUCUGAUGUGAAAGCCCCGGGCUCAACCUGGGAAGUGCAUUGGAAACUGGCAGACUUGAAUACGGGAGAGGGUAGUGGAAUUCCUAGUGUAGGAGUGAAAUCCGUAGAUAUUAGGAGGAACACCGGUGGCGAAGGCGGCUGCCUGGACCGAUAUUGACGCUGAGACGCGAAAGCGUGGGGAGCAAACAGGAUUAGAUACCCUGGUAGUCCACGCCGUAAACGAUGAGUACUAGGUGUUGCGGGUAUUGACCCCUGCAGUGCCGCAGCUAACGCAUUAAGUACUCCGCCUGGGAAGUACGGCCCGCAGGCUAAAACUC
rnacentral:rRNA from 1 species